rnacentral:misc_RNA from 1 species
GUUUCAGACGAACUUUGAGGAGUUGAAGC